UACGGAGGGGGUUAGCGUUGUUCGGAAUUACUGGGCGUAAAGCGCGCGUAGGCGGAUUAGAAAGUUGGGGGUGAAAUCCCGGGGCUCAACCCCGGAACUGCCUCCAAAACUACUAUUCUAGAGUUCGAGAGAGGUGAGUGGAAUUCCGAGUGUAGAGGUGAAAUUCGUAGAUAUUCGGAGGAACACCAGUGGCGAAGGCGGCUCACUGGCUCGAUACUGACGCUGAGGUGCGAAAGUGUGGGGAGCAAACAGG
rnacentral:rRNA from 1 species